rnacentral:rRNA from 1 species
GUUGAACGCUGGCGGCGUGCCUAAUACAUGCAAGUCGAGCGAAUGAAGGAGGCGUUUUCUUUUCUGCUGUUAGCGGCGGAUGGGUGAUUCCUACGUGUCUAACUUAUCUAUGAGAAUGGGAUCCCUUCGCGAGCCCUGAUCUCACAUCCGAUCAUAUUUUGAACCGCAUGGUUCUUCAGUGCUCGACGGUCCUGCUGUCCCUUAUUCAUGGAUCCUGGCUGCAUUAGCUAGUUGGUACGGUAACGGCUUACCAAGGCUACGAUGCAUAGCCGACCUGAGAGGAUGAUCAGCCACACUGGAACUGAGACACGGUCCAGACUCCUACGGGAGGCAGCAGUAGGGAAUCUUGCGCAAUGGGCGAAAGCCUGACGGAGCAACGCCGCGUGAGUGAUGAAGGUCUUCGGAUCGUAAAGCACUGUAAGUUGGGAGGAACAGAUGUGUAAUUAACUGUGGACAUCUUGACGGUACCAAAACAGAAAGCAACGGCUAACUACGUG